GAACCUUACCUACUCUUGACAUCCAGAGAACUUUCCAGAGAUGGAUUGGUGCCUUCGGGAACUCUGAGACAGGUGCUGCAUGGCUGUCGUCAGCUCGUGUUGUGAAAUGUUGGGUUAAGUCCCGCAACGAGCGCAACCCUUAUCCUUGUUUGCCAGCACGUAAUGGUGGGAACUCCAGGGAGACUGCCGGUGAUAAACCGGAGGAAGGUGGGGACGACGUCAAGUCAUCAUGGCCCUUACGAGUAGGGCUACACACGUGCUACAAUGGCGUAUACAGAGGGCUGCCAACCAGCGAUGGUGAGCGAACCCCAGAAAGUACGUCGUAGUCCGGAUUGGAGUCUGCAACUCGACUCCAUGAAGUCGGAAUCGCUAGUAAUCGUGAAUCAGAAUGUCACGGUGAAUACGUUCCCGGGCCUUGUACACACCGCCCGUCACACCAUGGGAGUGGGCUGCACCAGAAGUAGAUAGCUUAACCUUCGGGAGGGCGUUUACCACGGUGUGGUUCAUGACUGGGGUGAAGUCGUAACAAGGUAACCAAGG
rnacentral:rRNA from 1 species